UAGGGAAUAUUGGUCAAUGGAUGGAAGUCUGAACCAGCCAUGCCGCGUGCAGGAAGAAGGCCUUCUGGGUUGUAAACUGCUUUUGCCAGGGGAUAAAAAUUCUUUGCGAAGAAAAUUGAAGGUACCUGGUGAAUAAGCACCGGCUAACUACGUGCCAGCAGCCGCGGUAAUACGUAGGGUGCAAGCGUUGUCCGGAUUUAUUGGGUUUAAAGGGUGCGUAGGCGGCCCUGUAAGUCAGUGGUGAAAUACUCCAGCUUAACUGGAGGGGUGCCAUUGAUACUGCAGGGCUUGAGUUAAGUUGAAGUUGGCGGAAUUGACGGUGUAGCGGUGAAAUGCUUAGAUAUCGUCAAGAACACCGAUAGUGAAGACAGCUAACUAAACUUUUACUGACGCUGAGGCACGAAAGUGUGGGGAUCAAACAGGAUUAGAUACCCUGGUAGUCCACACUGUAAACGUUGAUUACUCGCUGUGUGCGAUAUACAGUACGCGGCCAAGCGAAAGAC
rnacentral:rRNA from 1 species